GAUGAACGCUCGCGGCAGGCUUAAUACAUGCAAGUCGAGGGGCAGCAGGACUGUAGCAAUACAGUUGCUGGCGACCGGCAAACGGGUGCGGAACACGUACGCAACCUACCCAAAACUGGGGGAUAGCCCGGGGAAACCCGGAUUAAUACCUCGUAACCUUUUUAAGUGGCAUCACUUGAUAAGUAUAGCUCCGGCGGUUUUGGAUGGGCGUGCGCCUGAUUAGGUAGUUGGUGCGGGUAACGGCCCACCAAGCCUGCGAUCAGUAACUGGUGUGAGAGCACGACCAGUCACACGGGCACUGAGACACGGGCCCGACGCCUACGGGAGGCAGCAGUAAGGAAUAUUGGUCAAUGGACGCAAGUCUGAACCAGCCAUGCCGCGUGAAGGAUGAAGGUCCUCUGGAUUGUAAACUUCUUUUAUGGGGGACGAAACCCGGAUAUUCUUAUCCGAUUGACGGUACCUCAGGAAUAAGCACCGGCUAACUCCGUG
rnacentral:rRNA from 1 species